UGGGGAAUAUUGCACAAUGGGGGAAACCCUGAUGCAGCGACGCCGCGUGAACGAAGAAGGUAUUCGUAUCGUAAAGUUCUGUCCUAUGGGAAGAUAAUGACAGUACCAUAGAAGAAAGCUCCGGCUAAAUACGUGCCAGCAGCCGCGGUAAUACGUAUGGAGCGAGCGGUGUCCGGAAUUAUUGGGCGUAAAGGGUACGCAGGCGGUUUAAUAAGUCGAAUGUUAAAGAUCGGGGCUCAACCCCGCAAAGCAUUGGAAACUGAUAAACUUGAGUAGUGGAGAGGAAAGUGGAAUUCCUAGUGUAGUGGUGAAAUACGUAGAUAUUAGGAGGAAUACCAGUAGCGAAGGCGACUUUCUGGACACAAACUGACGCUGGGGUACGAAAGCGUGGGGAGCAAACAGG
rnacentral:rRNA from 1 species